rnacentral:rRNA from 1 species
AGCGAACGCUGGCGGCAGGCCUAACACAUGCAAGUCGAGCGGGCACCGCAAGGUGUCAGCGGCAGACGGGAGAGUAACACGUGGGAACGUGCCCUUCGGUUCGGAAUAACUCGGGGAAACACGUGCUAAUACCGAAUACGCCCUUACGGGGAAAGAUUUAUCGCCGAUGGAGCGGCCCGCGUCUGAUUAGCUAGUUGGUGGGGUAAUGGCUCACAAAGGCGACGAUCAGUAGCUGGUCUGAGAGGAUGAUCAGCCUCACUGGGACUGAGACACGGCCCAGACUCCUACGGGAGGCAGCAGUGGGGAAUAUUGGACAAUGGGCGCAAGCCUGAUCCAGCCAUGCCGCGUGGAUGAUGAAGGCCUUAGGGUUGUAAAGUCCUUUUAACGGGGAAGAUAAUGACAGUACCCGUAGAAUAAGCCCCGGCUAACUUCGUGCCAGCCGCCGCCGUAA